rnacentral:lncRNA from 1 species
AAGCAGGAAAUAAAUCAGGUGCACAAACCCACAGGCCACACAGAGGUGGCCACAUGGGGAGGUGAGUUGCAGCUCUCAGAACUCAUCAGAGAAGAUUCUUUGUGCAGUGGACAACACCUAAGGCAGACUCAACUAAAGUACAAUAAGUGUCACUGGAACUCUCAACCGGAAAUGGGACAUCUACAUCACGCCCCCUCCCCUUGAGGCUCACAGACCUUCGUAGAAGAGGGCAUGGAAAGACUGUAAGAGAUAGAGUUUGAGGGCUGGAGAGAUGGCUCAGCGGUUAAGAGCACUGACUGCUCUUCCAGAGGUCCUGAAUUCAAUUGCCAGCAACCACAACCACAUGGUGGUUCACAACCAUCUGUAAUGGGAUCCAAUGCCCUCUUCUGGUGUGUCUGAAGACAGCUACAGUGUACUUACAUACAUAAAAUAAAUUGAGAUUUUUUUUUAUUGAUUGAGAAGGGCCAGAGUAAAACAGCGUCUUCAAGACAUAACAGGACAGGACUGCUGCACUCAUGAAGUCAUCAUAUCUGUGGCUGCCUGCACAAGACCUACACAACAAGAUCAAGCCAGUCACCAUUCCAGGAUGGAGGGACAAGAGACUGGAGCUCCCACCACAGCUAAGGAGUCACUGACAGUUGAGAGGGUUAGUCAGUUUUCUUUAGGGGUGUGGGCCCUGGUAGGUCAACCAGCCUCCAGUGGAUGAUAUCACAUGCAUGAGUGUGUGAGCACCACAGACUAGACUUUGUGGGCUAUGUUUUUAAAGGGACAUGAAGUUUGAAGGGGGUGUAAGGUGUACCUGGGAAGAAUUGGGGAGAGGCAUACAGAGUAAAUACAAUCGAGAUACAUUGUAUGGGUGUGUGAAGUUAUCUGAAAAGAAUAAAGAUACAAUAAUUUUAAAAAUAGUAACAUUCAAAAUGUCACAAAUUAUAUUUAACAUAAAAUUUACUAGCUAAGGCUAUUUAAGUGUGCACUCCAGUGACAUCAGGGACAUUUGUUUUUUUGUUUUUUUUUUUUUAAUUCUUACAGCCACCCAGCUCCAGAAAUGUUUUCAUCUUAUAUAAGUGAUACCCUGCACUCAUGAAGUGACAGUUUCCAGUUCCCUCUGCCAGGCCAUGGCAACCACCCACAAUUCUGCCUUCUGUCUUUGUGAAUCUGAGAGUUCCAGUCAUCUCUGAGCAUCUGUCUUUUGGAGAUUGCAGAGCUUUGAGUCCACCCAGACAGGUAGUGUCCAACAAAGCAGUUCACCUCGUGGUAUCCAUCUAAGAGAAAGAGAGUACCACACUGCACGCCUUCUCCUCUCUCUCUCUCUCUCCUGCCCCAUCUAAGUCUCACCCUGGCCUAUUGGGGCGGGUCCUGUGUCCCAGAAGUGUCCCCCAUCAAAUGGCUAAACUAGAAUAACCAUUGGAGGUCCCUCACACGUGUCAUCCCAGCACUCAGGAAGCAGAGGCAGGUGGAUCUCUGUAAAUCCAAAGCCAGCCUGGUCUACACAGCCAGUUCUGGGCCAGCCAGGGCUACUGUUAGGACCUUGUUGCAAAAACAAACAAAACCAGAAGAAAAUCAAUGAGUUGGAUCCAGGAGAGCAUUGCCAUUUUGAUUAUAUAAAUGGUAUCCUCUUAAUCUGGUUAUCUUUAAAGCUGAGCACUUGCAAGUGAACUUGACCUCUGUACUAAGAUCUGGAAGGGCUGUGCCCAGCAAACCUGAAGAGGCAGCACUGCAAAGGAGCCUCUGCUGAGAAGACUGAAGCUUCACGGCCUGGUACUGUGGGGACUGGAUCUUAAAAUAGUCCUUCACUCAAGGUGCACUAGGACUGGAGAGAGAUAGCCCCUAGCCAGGGGUGUCUCGUACUGGAAAAAGUCGUGGCAGGCAUGGCAAGGCAAAAACUGGAUGCGUAGAACACCCUCUCUAUAUAUAUAUUCUUCUCCAGGAGCAGCUGUCAAAACAAUUUAGGGGCAAGAUUGACAGCUCAUUAGAAUCCCCUCAGCCGAGUGGAAUUCAGACUACUUUCCAGCAGACAGAGCGAAAGAGAGGAAGCAGCCGCCCUGGGCCAGGAGGCUCAAGCUUCCAGACGUAGUUAACAUUAACAUAGGCAUGACGAUGGACGGGGUCAGUGUUCACAGUGGGCUUGUCAUCACAAGUCACAGAUCCUCAACUGCUUCUUAUAAUUGACUGUGAUGAAAUAUUACAAUUGUCCUCACAGGAGGACAAACAAACAUUUUCGCAGCAAAGUUGUCUUUUGUGUGAGAUUUACAAAUAGUGCUUAA